AGGUCUAGCCUGCCCAGUGAAAUAUUUAACGGCCGCGGUACCCUGACCGUGCGAAGGUAGCAUAAUCACUUGUUCUUUAAAUAGGGACUAGUAUCAACGGCACCACGAGGAUUACACUGUCUCCUUUCUCCAAUCAGUGAAACUGAUCUUCCCGUGAAGAAGCGGGGAUAUAACUAUAAGACGAGAAGACCCCAUGGAGCUUUAAAUUUCACAGCAACUGAGUCAAAUAAACCCUUAUAAGUCACAGAACUAUGCAUAACAAUUUUAGGUUGGGGUGACCGCGGAGUAAAAAUUAACCUCCACGACGAAUAGAACUAAACCUUUAUCCAAGAGCCACAACUCUAAGAAUUAGCACACUAACGAUUAAUGACCCGAUAAUCGAUCAACGGACCAAGUUACCCUGGGGAUAACAGCGCAAUCUACUUCAAGAGUCCAUAUCGACAAGUAGGCUUACGACCUCGAUGUUGGAUCAGGGUAUCCUAGUGGUGCAGCCGCUACUAAUGGUUCGUUUGUUCAACGAU
rnacentral:rRNA from 1 species